rnacentral:ribozyme from 13 species
CGCAAAAAAAAAAAAAAAAAAAAAAAAAAAAAAAAAAAAAAAA